UACGGAGGGUGCAAGCGUUGUCCGGAAUUAUUGGGCGUAAAGAGCUCGUAGGCGGUCUGUCGCGUCGGCUGUGAAAACUCGGGGCUCAACUCCGAGCUUGCAGUCGAUACGGGCAGGCUAGAGUUCGGCAGGGGAGACUGGAAUUCCUGGUGUAGCGGUGAAAUGCGCAGAUAUCAGGAGGAACACCGGUGGCGAAGGCGGGUCUCUGGGCCAAAACUGACGCUGAGGAGCGAAAGCGUGGGGAGCGAACAGG
rnacentral:rRNA from 1 species